rnacentral:rRNA from 1 species
AUUGAACGCUGGCGGCAUGCCUUACACAUGCAAGUCGAACGGCAGCACGGGGGCGACCCUGGUGGCGAGUGGCGAACGGGUGAGUAGAAUAUCGGAACGUGCCCUGAAGUGGGGGAUAACGUAGCGAAAGUUACGCUAAUACCGCAUACGAUCUGUGGAUGAAAGCGGGGGAUCUUCGGACCUCGUGCUUUAGGAGUGGCCGAUAACUGAUGAGCUAGUUGGUGAGGGAAGGGCUCACCAAGGCGACGAUAAGUAGCUGGUCUGAGAGGACGACCAGCCACACUGGGACUGAGACACGGCCCAGACUCCUACGGGAGGCAGCAGUGGGGAAUUUUGGACAAUGGGGGCAACCCUGAUCCAGCAAUGCCGCGGGAGUGAAGAAGGCCUUCGGGUUGUAAAGCUCUUUUGUCGGGGAAGAAACGGUGGUGGUUAAUACCUGCUACUAAUGACGGUACCCGAAGAAUAAGCACCGGCUAACUACGUGCCAGCCGCCGCGGUAA